UGCGCAGGUGGGCUUGUAAGUCAGUGGUGAAAUACCGCCGCUUAACGGUAGAACUGCCAUUGAUACUGCAAGUCUUGAAUAUGGUUGAGGUAGGCGGAAUGUGUCGUGUAGCGGUGAAAUGCAUAGAUAUGACACAGAACGCCGAUUGCGAAGGCAGCUUACUAAGCCAUUAUUGACGCUGAGGCACGAAAGCGUGGGGAGCGAACAGGAUUAGAUACCCUGGUAGUCC
rnacentral:rRNA from 1 species